UGGGGAAUUUUGGACAAUGGGGGAAACCCUGAUCCAGCCAUCCCGCGUGUGCGAUGAAGGCCUUCGGGUUGUAAAGCACUUUUGGCAGGAAAGAAACGUCGCGGGUUAAUACCCCGCGAAACUGACGGUACCUGCAGAAUAAGCACCGGCUAACUACGUGCCAGCAGCCGCGGUAAUACGUAGGGUGCAAGCGUUAAUCGGAAUUACUGGGCGUAAAGCGUGCGCAGGCGGUUCGGAAAGAAAGAUGUGAAAUCCCAGAGCUUAACUUUGGAACUGCAUUUUUAACUACCGGGCUAGAGUGUGUCAGAGGGAGGUGGAAUUCCGCGUGUAGCAGUGAAAUGCGUAGAUAUGCGGAGGAACACCGAUGGCGAAGGCAGCCUCCUGGGAUAACACUGACGCUCAUGCACGAAAGCGUGGGGAGCAAACAGGAUUAGAUACCCUGGUUAGUCCACGCCCCUAAACGAUGUCAACUAGCUGUUGGGGGCCUUCGGGCCUUGGUAGCGCAGCUAACGCGUGAAG
rnacentral:rRNA from 1 species